rnacentral:lncRNA from 1 species
CAUAUCGGUGUCUCUUUUGAGCGUUUGUUUGACGGUUUUUUUUGAGGAUUUAUCUGAGACCGACCGGUUGAUGAUGCUUCCGACUUUGAUCGGACAUGGUUCAGAGUGUUUUACACCAUGAUAUCCGGGUGUAUCUUCGUGACCUCAACGUUCUAAGAAUCUCUAUCGGUUUUGGGUGAUUUUGGUGAGUUAUCGGUAUCUAGGGUUUUCGAUGGUUUUGACUUGCUGUUUUACCACCGUUCGGUGGUCCAAUUCUCAUCUCGUGGAUGUUUGGGUACCUUUCCGACAUCGUUUCUCAUAUUUCCGGUGACCGACUCGACGUUUGAACCUAGGGUUUCAUACCUAGGGUUUUCACUGUCAUUUGAAGGCCGAUCUUCUUCCGGUAGCGAAGAAGAAGGGUAACUUUGUCUUAAAAUUCAAUAUUACGUGAUUUGUGUGUACUGAAUUGGU